GCACCUGUGGCCUAAUGGAUAAGGCGUUUGACUUCUAAUCAGGUGAUUGUGAGUUCGAGUCCCACCGGGCGUG
rfam:Picea glauca, whole genome shotgun sequence.